rnacentral:rRNA from 1 species
GACAGAGGGUGCAAACGUUGCUCGGAAUCACUGGGCGUAAAGGGCGUGUAGGCGGGAAGGAAAGUCAGAUGUGAAAGCCCUGGGCUCAACCCAGGAACUGCAUUUGAAACUCCCUUUCUUGAGUGUCGGAGAGGAAAGCGGAAUUCCUGGUGUAGAGGUGAAAUUCGUAGAUAUUCGGAGGAACACCAGUGGCGAAGGCGGCUCACUGGCUCGGUACUGACGCUGAGGUGCGAAAGCGUGGGGAGCAAACAGG